UACGACGGGGGCUAGCGUUGCUCGGAAUCACUGGGCGUAAAGGGUGCGUAGGCGGGUCUUUAAGUCAGAGGUGAAAUCCUGGAGCUCAACUCCAGAACUGCCUUUGAUACUGAAGAUCUUGAGUUCGGGAGAGGUGAGUGGAACUGCGAGUGUAGAGGUGAAAUUCGUAGAUAUUCGCAAGAACACCAGUGGCGAAGGCGGCUCACGGGCCCGAUACUGACGCUGAGGCACGAAAGCGUGGGGAGCAAACAGG
rnacentral:rRNA from 1 species